AGAACCGUAAAUGUGUGUGGCGUGUGUGCAUAAUAACGUAAAUUCAGUUUUCAUAACUUUCAUUCUAUACAAAAUCUGCUGAUUUUAGAAGCCUGUAUGUCAGUAUAUCGGUAUCGGCAAAUAUCGGUUAUCGGCCACAACAGUGAUCUUAGUAUUGGAUAUCGGUAUCGGCCCCAAAAUUACAUGUUGGUUGCAUCACUAAUUAGAAUCUCUUUCUCUCUUUGACUAUUAGAAAUAUGUUUUGUGUAAUUAUUUAAUGGAGAAAGUUUUCUGAACAGCCUCAGUUUGAGGAAAUAGUGUUUACAUGCAACAGAAAGAAGAUGACAGCUUAAAUGAACAGAACCAAGAUCAAAGCAUUUUGCCACCAUCUUAAAAUGGCUCCAAUAUUCUAAAUUUCAUGGUGGGCCCUGUCUCCCCGGGCAUCUUCCACACAGCCGCAUGGCUCCCAUGUGAGGCUGUAGUUGUCCCAGCUGCCUGUGGAGCUCUGAGGGAGACCACAGAAACACUGCAGGGCUGCCAACAGCGUUGCCAACUCAGGAAUUUUGUCAUUGUUACUAACAACUACAUGAACCCCCCUGCCCAAUUAGCUUUUUUUCCAGAAAGCGCCUAGCAACAAACCUAGCUGCAUUUCCAAGGACCCUUUGCUACUUUAUGUAGAACUUUGUGGUGAGCUGGUGCAAAUUGUAGCCUCUUUUUCCUAUUAGCAGUGGAGAUGAGUGGUACCCGGUGGGGUCUUCUGCUGUUGUAGCCCAUCCGCCUCAAGGUUAUGCAUGUUGUGGCUUCACAAAUGCUUUGCUGCAUUUCUCGGUUGUAACGAGUGGUUAUUUCAGUCAAAGUUGCUCUUCUAUCAGCUUGAAUCACUCGGCCCAUUCUCCUCUGACCUCUAGCAUCAACAAGGCAUUUUCACCCACAGGACUGCUGCAUGCUGGAUGUUUUUCCCUUUUCACGCCAUUCUUUAUAAAUCCUAGAAAUGGUCGUGGGUGAAAAUCCCAGUAACUGAGCAGAUUGUGAAAUACUCAGACUGGCCUGUCUGGCACCAACAACCAUGCCAUGCUCAAAAUAGCUUAAAUCACCUUUCUUUCCCAUUCUGACCUUCAGUUUGGAGUUCAGGAGAUUGUCUUGACCAGGACCACACCCCUAAAUGCAUUGAAGCAACUGCAAUGUGAUUGGUUGAUUAGAUAAUUGCAUUAAGGAGAAGUUGAACAGGUGUUCCUGAUAAUCGUGUGUGUGUGUACAUUUAUUUUCAUUGUAGAUGUUGAGGGUAAAUGAACGCCAAUGUGGCGUGAUGAUGUAAUCUAUAUGCAAACUAGUGUGUGAUGUCAUCUGGCAACAUCUGGGUGACUUUCUUGGUGAACUUCAGCUACUUUCUGUCAGAGGCAGUUAGCAACACUGCUGCCAACUCUCACGCAUUAAGCAUGAUAUGCACUCAUCUCACCCACUUCACACACACUCACGCCACACAUCCAAUGUCUCACGCUGAACCCCCCUGCUCUUGGAACGGAAGCAAAACAAUCCAUGUCAAUCAUUUGCUCCCAGUUUCACCUUUUUGCCCAAUUUUGUAUUUGUUGUUAGUGACGAUAUGAGUUACAUGACCAAGAUGGCGGUGGUGGGAACUGCUCAUUUGGCUUCAAAAAAGCCCCACAGAAAGAUGUUUGGUUUGUCCAUCUUUUUAUACAGUCACUGGUGGCUGGUGGUGGUGUUGAAAUCUGUCAAUAAACCAGAAAAUACAACCAUUUGAGGUAAAACUGGUAAAGGUUUAUCAAAUGACAAUGGGCCGCUGUAGUUUUAAGCUAGCAGCAGCAUACUGUUAGCUUAAAUUGGCUGUUCCUUUGCUUAAGCUCUUUAUCCCUAAACGGAGUCAAACCAUUCUGGAAGUUCACGUGAGCGCAGUUUGGUCUUUCUUUUGUCAAAUAACAUGUCUGACAUGUCUGCUUUGAUGUCGGGUUGCUAGAUUCCACGCAGGGCAGCGAGGAACUGAGCGAGCUGAUGACCAUUCAGAAGGAGCUCGAUGAGCUGCUGGUGCUAAAGGAAGACUUGGACAGAAAAGGAAAAAGAUUCGUAGAUUUCUCAAACAAUGGCAAGUUUCCCUGUUUGAGGUUUCGUAUGUCCCCAAAUCUGUCUUGAAAUUUCAAAAGACUAAAAGGUGUUUUGGCCUCAGGUCAGAAAGAGCAAACGUCUUACAAAGGGAGCCCUCGUGGAGGGAUCUACAUGCUGCCUUUUUUCCAGCCAAACCAAGACGAUGCACCUGCAGCACAGAGACCACCAGAAAGAAUUGUACCAUCUGAGAUUUUGGGUCGGAAACCAGAACUCACACAGUGUCCCUUCUGCGAGGAGGUGGUGGUCACAGAGAUCCACAGCCAAAGAGGUGGUGCCAUGUGGAUCACGUGCUUUUUGUGCUUGAUAAUGGGCUGUGUUGCAGGCUGCUGUUUGAUCCCGUUCUGCAUGAAGCGCCUCAGGAACAUUCAACAUGUGUGCCCUGAGUGUCACGCCAACAUUCACACCCACAAGCCUCUCUAACAACUGGGUAACCACACUCAUGAGGAAGACUUCCAGACUAGAAAUUGGCAUGGACUUCUCAAAAAGAGGAUGGCCUGUGAACAGUAUUCCUGCAGAACAGACUUCCAUUUACUGCUUUUUUACUUCUCCUGGACUAAAUAAAAUUCCUCCUGAUGGACUGAGCCAAAAAUAUCCACAUUUUAUACUUUGGUUAUUGCUGGUGUAAAUACUUCCUGGUUGUGAAAAUAGGCUAAUAAUGCAGUCUUUUUCUACUUGUUUCCUGAUGGAGAUUAUGUUUUGCCAGCUGAAUAUUUGCUUAUGCAAUCUCUCAGUGAAAUUCCCUUAAUCAAAACUACUGUGAGGUGGGGAAGGAGCACUUUCCUAGUACCUGGGGGUACUUUAAAAUACUUCAGAUCAAUGUUUUCACCCCAGCAUAUUAAGCUGUUUCCCUGCUUCAACACAAUCUGUUCAGCAGCACACCAAGCUCUAUAGAAGCAUUCCAAUUAUCACUGACUAAAUCUAAAUGGUUGGAGCAGAGAAACAACUGAAACAUGCUAGAGUGAAUCCUGAAGAUCAGGGCUGAAGCACACUGCUAUUUCUAAAAUCAUUAAAUUAAAAGUGCUCGUUGUUAGUGUUCAUAAAGAUUUAAUAAACAAGUCCAAAUGACACCACUGAGAUCUGUUUAAAAAAAAGUCUAAAUUUAAAACCAGUGUGGUAAAAAAAAAAAACUUAGGUACUUGAUCAGGAGAUUUGGGAAUUUGUUGAUCCAGAGCAUAUAGAGCUCCGAGAGUUGACGUCACUUCUCCCGGCAUGCAACAGUUCAAAUCGAAACGGCGCCAUAUUGGCAGGUAGAAGCCGGCAGCUGGACUAUUUGUUAUUGUCAAAAAACUCAAUCAGACAGGAAAUAUGGUAGAUUCCUGUUGUGCCCCAGGAUGCAGAACAGACACGGACGACAUAAGGAAUGAGCCGUCUACAGGAUUCCCCAAGAUCCGGAGCGCCGCAAACGUUGGAUCAUUGCAGUAAAACGCGCUAGUGACCGGGCUAAAAUGAAGCUGUGGGAUCCAGAGAGUAAAGGUUUUCGCUUAUGCAGCGACCACUUCAUAUCAGGUACUUAAACCAACGUUUCCUCAACUGUGUAUGGUAUUUAUUUUAAAUGCUUUUAUUACGAUUCUUAGUGGGCUUCCUAAACUUAUUUUGGCAUGGCUUUUUCUGUCUUAUUACUCACAGCAACAAGUAAACAUCACGUAGAACGUUGCCUCGUGAGUUCUGCGUGCUGCCGUUUACGUGUUUUAUGAUCACAGCAAUUAACCGGCUAAGCUGUAUUUAAUUUUUAAGCAAUGGUUGAUCAAUUGUCAGAUCACACAUAAAAAGCACUUUGGAUUGCUAUUAUCUGUCUCACCGAGUCAGAUCUCAGACAGAUCCUGAGACGCUCCUGCCUGACAUAUUUAUUUUUUAUUUACGGAAAACAAUCAAACUAGUGAUUUCUCUUGGCGUUCAGUUUAUAUAUUCAAACAGCACAGCACUCUAUUUAAACUACUUACGUGUAAAUCUGUUAUUUGUCCAUCCAUUUUCAUCUGGGUAUCCGGAGUCGGGUUGCGGGAGCAGUAGCGUCGAGAGGCCCAGACUUCCCUCUCCCCAGCCGCCUGAGCCAGCUCCUCCGGGGGAAUCCCAAGGGGUUCCCCGGCCAGGUCCAGUAAGAAGUCCGCUCCGACAGCUUCUGGUGUUUUUAAAAAGUAUCCCAGGGGCACGGUAAGGGUCGGAGAUGUUUAGUCUAUUUAAUUUCUGACUAUAUAAAACAAUUUCUUUGGUUUUAAAGUGUGAAGUAAACUCCGACGAAGUAAAAUCCAAGCCGAUCCCGUUCAUGGUCAUGUUUACGAUCCGUGUUUGUUUAGCUUCUUUUACCUGCCAAUAUGGUGUCUACUAACUGAGAGUCACGUGGGGCCCGGAGCUCUAUAGACCAAAGACAUCUACAGAAGGAAGCUGGAGAAAGCUGGGCAGAUCAAUGCCUGUGGUGCAUGGAGAGGACUCGGGAACAUCACAGGUCACAGUGGUACUAGUGAGUCUGCUGAAGGGGACCAGAACUGGGCUCCCAGCAACAAACAAACACACACACACACACACACACACACACACACACACACACACACACACACACACACACACACACACACACACACACACACACACACACACACACACACCUCUCAGUUACAUCUGACCAGGUGAAGAGAGAACUGAGGUGGCUUAAGAGCAGAAAAGCAGCAGGUCCUGAUGGGAACAGCCCCAGACUGCUCAAAGACUGUGCUGACCAGCGUUGUGAAGUGGCCGUGAAAAUGUUCAGCCUAAGCCUUUGGUUGGAGCAGGUCCCCAUUCUGUAGAAGACCACCUGAGUGGCCCCUGUUCCCAAAACAUCACAUCCUUUAGAACCAGACCACUACAGACCUGUCACCUUGACCUCCCACCUGAUGAAGACUUUGGAGAGACUCAUCCUCACCCAUCCACAUUGUGGUGAGCCCAGAAAUAGACCCACUGCAAUUUUAAUAUAAACCAAACAUGGGGGUGAAGGAUGCACUCAACUACCUGCAGCUCCGGGCACUGACUCGCCUCCAGACGCAACAAAGCACUUUGAGAAUCAGUUAUCCAACCAUCUGUACUGCAGCCGAAGAUGAGGGGUGCAGGAGUGGACAAACAUAUGACUUCAUGGACCAUCAACUCCGUCAACAACAGGCCACAGUAUGUGAGGCUGUACAUCUGAGGUGGUUGUGUGCAGUACUGGAGCUCCACAGGGUGUGGUGCUCUCACACGUUCUCUUCACCUUCUACACCCUGGACUUCACCUACAACACAAACAGCCAUCAUCUCCAGAAGUUCUCUAAUGACUUGGCCAUUGUCGGCAGUGUGUCUGAGGGGAAUGACCAGGAGUGCAGGUCAGUCGGUGUGAGUGUUACCACCUUUGCUUGACCGGUAAAACAAAGGAAAUGGUGAUCGACUUCCAGAGAAGCACUCCCCCUCACUCACCGGUAAACAUCCAGGGAGCAGACAUUGAGGUGGUGGAUAAUUUUAAGAACCUGGGUGUUAACUUCAACAGCAAACCUAAUUGGUCCAACAACACAGAUGCUCUGUAUAUGAAGGGCCAAAGUUGCCUCCACCUCCUGAGGAGGCUGAGGUCCUUCGCAGUUAAUUCCCAGCUGCUAAAAUGCUUUUAUCAUUCUGUUGUUGGCUCCGUAUCCACUCUGCUGUGGUCUGUUGGGGUGCAGGCAGCUCUGACUGAGAUAGGAAGAGACUGAACAAGCUAGUUUAAAAAGCUAGCUUGGUUGGGCUGCCCACUGGAAUUCAGUUGAGGAGACUUGUGAAAGGAGGAUGCUGGUGAAGAUGACCCCCAUCUUAGAAAACCCCUCCCACCCACUGCAUUCCACUGUGGAGACAGAUGGACAGUUCCUUAAGAGGAAGACUGAGACAUCCCAGAUGUAAAACAGAACGCCACCAUAGGCCAUUCAUCCCCUCUGCAGUAGAGUGUAUAACUCCUGAACCUUUAACUGGUUUUGGCAUUAUCCUGUUACACAAUAACAUCAAUGCAGUACUCUGUAUGUUUUCAAUACUUGUGCAAUACCGGAUUUACACAGUAUGUCUGUGUCCCUUACAGUGUGCUGCAUAGUUCAAGUUUCAUUUUAUUUGUGGUUUUAAUGGAUGAAGGUUAUAAUAAUAGCAUACUGCCUAUGUGUAUAUACAUGUACUUUUGUUACUAUUUUUCUUCUAGUUAUUCUCUUAAGUGUUGGUGCUGCUGUAACAAGUGAAUUUCCCCACUGUGGGAUCAAUAAAGUCUAUUCUAUAGGCACGUGUUAUCAGAAAUCCAAAGAAGAAAAAAAUCAGCUAUGAGCUACGGCUCUAUAUUUAAAAUGGCCAUCUUUCUACAAAAGAAUAUCCUAGAAAGUUAAAAAAUUGUGCAAUGUUCAAGAAAAUUUACAUGAAGCUCAAACAUUGCAGUAAAUGUCAAACAAAGAGGUGGAUCUAGAUUGAAAUACUUUAUGGGGCUGUUAAAAAAAUUGUUCAAUAAAAUAAUGGCCACAAUAUGGAUUGUUGCGAAGAGUUUGGAGAAACUUCCCCCUUCGCAUCUUUAGAGGAAUUAGUCACUAAAAAGACGAUAAGUUGCAGUUACUGACACAGCCCUGUUUCAGUUUUUAAACACUGCUCCUAAAUUCUUGUUGAAUGUUUGUUUUAAAAAAUAUUUCACAUCCUUUCCACUAGGUACAAAGACAGAAAAAUGAGCAUAACGAUGUGCUUCCUGUUGACAGUGACUGUAUGUAAAACAAAAACCCAAACAGGACGACUUGCUGACACGUUUAUUAGAGAUCUGGGAAAUGAUAUCAGAAAAUAUUUACAGUCCAUAAAAACCAGACAGAAGUUACGUUUCCUAAACAUUCAAACUUUACUGAAAACUGUAGCUGUCCAGUUUUUAUAAUCUGACUAAAGAUUACGUUAAAACAUAAUGGUAGGACAUUUGGAGGAGUCAUUUCAUACCAGCUAUAAAGCAUGGUGGUUGUAGCAUCAUGAUGUGGUAUUGGUGCACUCGCAGGACAGAUGCAACUUCAUAGGAAUUCAGAGCCUUGGAAUCAGUUGAGCGUUCCAACAGGAAGCGAAGCUGAGGAGUAAAAUCUAUCUGUAGUAUAGUAAAUAUAAGCUAAUUUCCAAAUCAGCUCAGAUGUCAUACUUGAAAUUUCUUAUCAAGUGAAGAACAUGGACUUGAAAACCCCCAUGCAUGAAUCAGAGGGGACAUAUAAUGUAUUUUAAAUAUAUUGUAUUAGUUCAAUGGUAGGCUGCACAGUGACACAGUGGUUAGAGCUGUUGCCGUGUAGCAAGAAGGUCCUGGGUUCGCUUCCCAGCCUGGGAUCUUUCUGCAUGGAGUUAGCAUGUUCUCCCUGUGCAUGCGUGGGUUCUCUCCGGGUACUCCGGCUUCCUCCCACAGUCCAAAAACAUGACUGUUAGGUUGAUUGGUCUGUCUAAAUUGUCCUUAGGUGUGAGUGCAUGUGAUUGUUUGUCCUGUGUCUCUGUGUUGCCCUGCGAUGGACUGGCUCUCUGUCCAGGGUGUACCCCGCCUGAUUGCCCAUUGACCGCUGGAGAUAGGCACCAGCCACCCCCCCCACGUGGACAAAGCGGGUUCAGACAAUGGAUGGAUGGAUAGUUCAAUGGUCUAGAAAACAUGUUCAUGACUUUUUGGCACAAAGUCCAUCUCACAUAAAGCAAU